rnacentral:rRNA from 1 species
GACGAACGCUGGCGGCGUGCUUAACACAUGCAAGUCGAACGGUGAAGCGCCUUCCUUUUUGGUGGGUGUGGAUGAGCGGCGAACGGGUGAGUAACACGCUAGUAACCUGCCCCCUUUUUCUGGAUAACCGCAUGAAAGAGUGGCUAAUACGGGAUAUUCUGGGUCUGUCGCAUGAUGGGUCUAGGAAAGAUAUUGUUUCGGUGGGGGAUGGUCUCGCGGCGUAUUAGCUUGUUGGUGGGGUGAUGGCUGACCAAGGCGGUGAUGGGUAGUCGCCCUGAAAGGAGGAUAGGCCACACGGGAACGGAGACACGGCGCCGACUACUACGGGAGGCAGCAGCAGGGAAGAUUCUUGAAUGAGCGAAGGCAUGAUGAAGCAACGCCGCGGGGUGGAGGAAGGUGGCCUUAGGGUAAAGAACUUCUAUUGCGGAUGAAGCAGGGCAGCCUCAUUUGUGGGUGGGUUGACGGUAGCUGGAUAAGAAGCCCCGGCUAACUACGUG